UACGGGGGGGGCAAGCGUUGUUCGGAAUUACGGGGCGUAAAGGGCGCGUAGGCGGCCUUCUAAGUCGGACGUGAAAUCCCUCGGCUUAACCGAGGAACUGCGUCCGAGACUGAAAGGCUUGAAUCCGGGAGAGGGAUGUGGAAUUCCAGGUGUAGCGGUGAAAUGCGUAGAUAUCUGGAGGAACACCGGUGGCGAAGGCGGCAUUCUGGACUGUAACUGACACUGAGGAACGAAAGCCAGGGGAGCAAACGGG
rnacentral:rRNA from 1 species